UCAGACGAUGCGUCAUGCAUAUCAAUAAGCGGAGGAAAAGAAACUAACAAGGAUUCCCUUAGUAACGGCGAGUGAAGCGGGAAGAGCUCAAAUUUGAAAUCUUCAAGGUUUUACCUUGACGAAUUGUAGUUUAAAGAAGUGUUUUCUGUUGAAGUUUUGGUAAAAGUUCUUUGGAAUAGGACAUCAUAGAGGGUGAGAAUCCCGUAUUUGACCAUUACUUUUCAGCUGUGUGAUACACUUUCAAAGAGUCGGAUUGUUUGGGAAUGCAGCCCAAAAUGGGUGGUAAAUUUCAUCUAAAGCUAAAUAUUGGCGAGAGACCGAUAGCGAACAAGUACCGUGAGGGAAAGAUGAAAAGAACUUUGAAAAGAGAGUUAAACAGUACGUGAAAUUGUCAAAAGGGAAGCGUUUGACACCAGUGUUGUUUUUCUGAAAAUCAAUUAAAGAACUGUUUAUGCUAAGUUGUUUAGACUUUAUCAGCUAACUGUUUAGUUUUGAGCUUUUCUUUAAUGCACUUUUCAGUUAACAAGUCAACAUCAAUUUCUUUUGCUGUAAAAAAGCUUGAGGAAGGUGGCUUGAGAUUCGUCUUAAGUGUUUAUAGCCUCUUGCCUAUGCAGUCGGAGAGAUUGAGGUCUGCAGCGUAGAUCCUUCGGGGCUAAAUGCAUUUGUGCUAAGCUAUAGCAUUUUAUAGACAACUUGUUGACUAUGAUUUGUCUUGUAGCUUACUCGCUUAUGUUAUUUUACCUACGCUUAGGAUGUUGAGCGCAUGUCUCUCUCU
rnacentral:rRNA from 1 species